AGCGAAACGGGAAGAGCCCAAACCAACAAGCUUGCUUGUUGGGGUUGUAGGACACUCUAUACGGAGUUACAAAGGACGACAUUAGACGAAUCAUCUGGAAAGAUGAAUCAAAGAAGGUAAUAAUCCUGUAGUCGAAAAUGUUGUCUCUCUUGAGUGGAUCCUGAGUACGACGGAGCACGUGAAAUUCCGUCGGAAUCUGGGAGGACCAUCUCCUAAGGCUAAAUACUCUCUAGUGACCGAUAGUGAACCAGUACCGUGAGGGAAAGGUGAAAAGCACCCCGGAAGGGGAGUGAAAUAGAACCUGAAACCGUGUGCUUACAAGUAGUCAGAGCCCGUUAAUGGGUGAUGGCGUGCCUUUUGUAGAAUGAACCGGCGAGUUACGAUUUGAUGCAAGGUUAAGCAGUAAAUGUGGAGCCGUAGCGAAAGCGAGUCUGAAUAGGGCGUUUAGUAUUUGGUCGUAGACCCGAAACCAGGUGAUCUACCCUUGGUCAGGUUGAAGUUCAGGUAACACUGAAUGGAGGACCGAACCGACUUACGUUGAAAAGUGAGCGGAUGAACUGAGGGUAGCGGAGAAAUUCCAAUCGAACCUGGAGAUAGCUGGUUCUCUCCGAAAUAGCUUUAGGGCUAGCCUCAAGUGAUGAUUAUUGGAGGUAGAGCACUGUUUGGACGAGGGGCCCCUCUCGGGUUACCGAAUUCAGACAAACUCCGAAUGCCAAUUAAUUUAACUUGGGAGUCAGAACAUGGGUGAUAAGGUCCGUGUUCGAAAGGGAAACAGCCCAGACCACCAGCUAAGGUCCCAAAAUAUAUGUUAAGUGGAAAAGGAUGUGGCGUUGCCCAGACAACUAGGAUGUUGGCUUAGAAGCAGCCAUCAUUUAAAGAGUGCGUAAUAGCUCACUAGUCGAGUGACACUGCGCCGAAAAUGUACCGGGGCUAAACAUAUUACCGAAGCUGUGGAUUGUCCUUUGGACAAUGGUAGGAGAGCGUUCUAAGGGCGUUGAAGCAUGAUCGUAAGGACAUGUGGAGCGCUUAGAAGUGAGAAUGCCGGUGUGAGUAGCGAAAGACGGGUGAGAAUCCCGUCCACCGAUUGACUAAGGUUUCCAGAGGAAGGCUCGUCCGCUCUGGGUUAGUCGGGUCCUAAGCUGAGGCCGACAGGCGUAGGCGAUGGAUAACAGGUUGAUAUUCCUGUACCACCUAUAAUCGUUUUAAUCGAUGGGGGGACGCAGUAGGAUAGGCGAAGCGUGCGAUUGGAUUGCACGUCUAAGCAGUAAGGCUGAGUAUUAGGCAAAUCCGGUACUCGUUAAGGCUAAGCUGUGAUGGGGAGAAGACAUUGUGUCUUCGAGUCGUUGAUUUCACACUGCCGAGAAAAGCCUCUAGAUAGAAAAUAGGUGCCCGUACCGCAAACCGACACAGGUAGUCAAGAUGAGAAUUCUAAGGUGAGCGAGCGAACUCUCGUUAAGGAACUCGGCAAAAUGACCCCGUAACUUCGGGAGAAGGGGUGCUCUUUAGGGUUAACGCCCAGAAGAGCCGCAGUGAAUAGGCCCAAGCGACUGUUUAUCAAAAACACAGGUCUCUGCUAAACCGUAAGGUGAUGUAUAGGGGCUGACGCCUGCCCGGUGCUGGAAGGUUAAGAGGAGUGGUUAGCUUCUGCGAAGCUACGAAUCGAAGCCCCAGUAAACGGCGGCCGUAACUAUAACGGUCCUAAGGUAGCGAAAUUCCUUGUCGGGUAAGUUCCGACCCGCACGAAAGGCGUAACGAUUUGGGCACUGUCUCAACGAGAGACUCGGUGAAAUCAUAGUACCUGUGAAGAUGCAGGUUACCCGCGACAGGACGGAAAGACCCCGUGGAGCUUUACUGUAGCCUGAUAUUGAAAUUCGGCACAGCUUGUACAGGAUAGGUAGGAGCCUUUGAAACGUGAGCGCUAGCUUACGUGGAGGCGCUGGUGGGAUACUACCCUAGCUGUGUUGGCUUUCUAACCCGCACCACUUAUCGUGGUGGGAGACAGUGUCAGGCGGGCAGUUUGACUGGGGCGGUCGCCUCCUAAAAGGUAACGGAGGCGCUCAAAGGUUCCCUCAGAAUGGUUGGAAAUCAUUCAUAGAGUGUAAAGGCAUAAGGGAGCUUGACUGCGAGACCUACAAGUCGAGCAGGGUCGAAAGACGGACUUAGUGAUCCGGUGGUUCCGCAUGGAAGGGCCAUCGCUCAACGGAUAAAAGCUACCCCGGGGAUAACAGGCUUAUCUCCCCCAAGAGUUCACAUCGACGGGGAGGUUUGGCACCUCGAUGUCGGCUCAUCGCAUCCUGGGGCUGUAGUCGGUCCCAAGGGUUGGGCUGUUCGCCCAUUAAAGCGGUACGCGAGCUGGGUUCAGAACGUCGUGAGACAGUUCGGUCCCUAUCCGUCGUGGGCGUAGGAAAUUUGAGAGGAGCUGUCCUUAGUACGAGAGGACCGGGAUGGACAUACCUCUGGUGUACCAGUUGUCGUGCCAACGGCAUAGCUGGGUAGCUAUGUGUGGACGGGAUAAGUGCUGAAAGCAUCUAAGCAUGAAGCCCCCCUCAAGAUGAGAUUUCCCAACUUCGGUUAUAAGAUCCCUCAAAGAUGAUGAGGUUAAUAGGUUCGAGGUGGAAGCAUGGUGACAUGUGGAGCUGACGAAUACUAAUCGAUCGAAGACUUAAUCAA
rnacentral:rRNA from 1 species